UACGGGAGGCAGCAGUGGGGAAUAUUGCACAAUGGGCGAAAGCCUGAUGCAGCUAUGCCGCGUGUAUGAAGAAGGCCUUAGGGUUGUAAAGUACUUUCAUCGGGGAGGAAAAACAAAACUAAUAAUUUUAUUUCUUGACGUUACCCGAAAAAGAAGCACCGGCUAACUCCGUGCCAGCAGCCGCGGUAAUACGGAGGGUGCUAGCGUUAAUCAGAAUUACUGGGCGUAAAGAGCACGUAGGUGGUUUUUUUAAAGUCAGAUGUGAAAUCCCUGGGCUUAACCUGGAACUGCAUUUUGAAACUGAAAUACUAGAGUAUCGUAGAGGGAGGUAGAAUUCUAGGUGUAGCGGUGAAAUGCGUAGAUAUCUGGAGGAAUACCUGUGGCGAAAGCGGCCUCCUAAACGAAUACUGACACUGAGGGUGCGAAAGCGUGGGGAGCAAACGAGGGAUUAGAUACCCGU
rnacentral:rRNA from 1 species